AUACCCAAACAAGUUGCACAACCUUCAGCGCGACCAACACUCUCAAAAAACAGUUGAACUUGGCCAUCGAUUCCGGACGAUAGGGAAGGUCCCAUACGAAUAGCAGAAGCGAGGACAUCGAUCGGACGACGAUGAACUACCACGUAAACCCCUGUAUUCGUAAGUAUGGCAAAAGUAGGAGGAGGUGUGUUAAAUUGAGAAACCAACUCAUUGCGUUCUCGAGAAUUUUGAAUGCAUUUAAUAUCUUGUACAAAACCCUUAAUAGGAACGUACAUGGAAGACUCUAUGAGAGACGGUUGCGUACCACUCUGCCAAGCAUUGGCAAUUCUACCAACUUCAGGAGCAGUACAACAGACGACGUCGCCCUCAUUCGUAUUGGAGGAGCUUAUGGCGAAAAACAAAUCGGAUGUAUAAAUAUUACUCAGAGAAGAACAUUUCAUAGGAGUAGUUUUUACAGCACUUGACCUUUCAGGUUGUUGUUGAGAUGUAGAUUGAUUUUGCAGGAAGAAAGGGUUAGCAGGAUAAUUGCGGGAAGAGGCAUAAUUCUCCACUUGCAUAGGAGGAGGAAAACGAACGAAAGUAAGUUGUAAAGUACUAGGAGGUGUGGACGACAAAGUCGAAUUAGACGGUGCAUAGUGAGAAAUGGGGCCCCGGCCACCUCUCAUGUAAAACCGACAUCCUGUAGAGGUAAUUGCGACACAGUAUAUUUGCUGUGAUUCAUAUGCUGGAAUAGGAACUAUGGAAACUAUUUGAGUAGUCCGAGGAUCCAAUAAGGGAGAGGUUGCAUUUAGCAUUUGAGCUUGAGAGAUCAUAGAGCUGAAAGAAUAAAAGACACAA